AGAGAGCAGCAGGCUGACACAGAGCGAUGAAGAUGCUGUUACACUGUUAGCCUGAAAAAAAGAUUCUGAUUAGACUCAUUGACACGAUUGAUUCUGCAAAAGUAUGAUUAUUGUGCCCUCCGCCAUUGACUGAAGCCAGGUGCGGCUCGCAUACCGCAUGGCAAAUCACUUUAGAUGCUAUCUGACUCACAGAUCGCCCAACCACCCUGAUGCCUGCUGAGGACUCGAGAGGUCACGCUCUGAGCUCACAGCUCAAAUAUCACGUAGCAACAAAGUCUUAAGGCUUCUGUCUUCUCCUCUCUGUAUGUAACCAAUAAAUCCUCACUUCAUUCAGACGUCAGAGCCGGGCCUGUCUAACCUCUCAAGCGAACACGCUUCAUCCCAAGUUAAGACAGAUCGUUUGGGUUUGAAAUAAAUGUGAGAUGUACAGCAAAGCCAACCAGUCAGAACAUUUUGAUUAACAUGUGUUCAUUUUCAUUGCCAGAUCGCAUGGGGAAGUAAUUAUGUCCCAUUCAUGCCACAUUAGAUUCACUGAAAACAGUUUUAAAUAUAUCAUUGACUACACAUUAACGGUGAACUCACAUUAAUGAGCCUUACUUGAAAAAGCUGAGCAAUAACAUCUGUGCUUCAUCUGAUAGAAAUGCAGAUUCAGCAACUGAGCCAUUAUAAGAAGUAAGAAGUGGCACAUUUAAAGUUGUUAAAUCUUCACUGAGAUUUCUGUUGUUUCUUUAUUGAGGUGAACACUUUAUUAGAAGCCAUCUAUUCAUUUAUCAACAGUUAAUUAUGCUUCACUAAAGUUAAUAAAUCUAUUAAUACUUUCACUUUUAACUACUAUUAGGAUUCAACUGUAGGCAAGUUAACAGUUUGUUAUACUUUUGCAGAUACACUAAAACAAGCGCAAUUUCUUAUUGAGUUUAAGAAAUCCAUGUUAUCAAACACUUAUUCAUGAUUAACUAUCCUUUUUUCAUCUACUGGAUCUGAAGCAUAAACAAAACCCCAUCAGGAUUAUUGAAUGUAUUAUUAUAAACAAUGGCUAACUGUGCAUUUUAAAUAUGCAUGUUAUCAAAGUUGAUAAAUUGUGAAUCAUACAAAAAGAGUAUUUUAUGUGAAGCACAAAAAAAGUAAGCUCUUUUUUUCUU